rnacentral:rRNA from 1 species
GUCUUUUUGAAUUAAAUUUAAAGUCUAACCUGCCCACUGAAAAUUUUAAAUGGCCGCAGUAUUCUAACUGUGCAAAGGUAGCAUAAUCAUUAGUCUUUUAAUUGAAGGCUGGAAUGAAUGGUUGGACGAAAUAUUAACUGUUUCAUUUAAAUUUUUUAUAAAAUUUUAUUUUUUAGUCAAAAAGCUAAAAUAAAUUUAAAAGACGAGAAGACCCUAUAAAUCUUUAUAUUUUAUUUAUUUUAAUUAUAAAGAUUAUUUUUAUUAUAAUAAAUUAAAAUAUUUUAUUGGGGUGAUAUUAAAAUUUAAAAAACUUUUAAUUUUUAAAACCAUUAAUUUAUGAAUAAUUGAUCCAUUAAUAAUGAUUAAAAAUUUAAGUUACUUUAGGGAUAACAGCGUAAUUUUUUUGGAGAGUUCAUAUCGAUAAAAAAGAUUGCGACCUCGAUGUUGGAUUAAGAUAUAAUUUUGGGUGUAGCCGUUCAAAUUUUAAGUCUGUUCGACUUUUAAAUUCUU